rnacentral:tRNA from 1 species
CCCGCCAUAGCUCAGCUUUGGAAGAGCAUCAGACUGUAAAUCUGAGGGUCCGCGGUUCGAUCCCGCGUGGCGGGA